UUAAGGGCUUGUAAGUAAGCAUUUCAUGGUAAGGUCUAAACCUGUUGUAUUCGGUGCAUAUGACAAAUAAACAUUUGAUUUGAUGUAGUAGCCUUAACCUAUCGCUGUUACAUUUAACUGGGUGAAUGGAAUAUGAAUGACAGUCAUCCAAUAUGCUGUAAUAGAAAUAAGGCCAUGCUCAUGAAUAUUUUGUUUUGUUUUCCGUCCUCUUAAACUGCACCGAACGUCACUGGUAUCAGCUGACCACAUCAUGGCAAUCUGGUGCUCCACGCCACAGUCGAUGACCUUGCACGCAACCAUUGGUGGAUGCAAGCAACGUCUGAGCAGGGGCACACCACCAAAACCUCUUCACAGAGGUGAAUUUGAGGAGGAAAUCUGAAGGAACAGAUGAGGAUGGAUCGGCCACACCCUUUGAACAUCACCACCCUCCAACAUCACCAAGCCAGCUCUAUCCUGGAACUCUUUAAGAGUCUUGGAGCUGGAUGCUGCUGCAAUUCAGCACGUUUAUAUUUACAUUGAGGCUGACUUCAACCUAGCCAAAAGAAGGGUAUGGGGACGGAGCAUUAUUGGCCAGCGUGCCUUUGUGAAUGUCCCUGGACAGCGUGGCGGGAAUAUCACCAUGUGCGCAGCAGUUAGCCAGCAAGGCAUCCUCCAUCACCAUGCCAACCUUGGUCCCUACAACACCGCCCUUCUCAUCACGUUCCUGGACACGUUACAUGGCAUCCUCAUUCCAGCCGAGCAGAGGGGUGGACCAGAGCAGCCCAGGUAUGUUGUCAUCUGGGACAACGUGAGUUUCCACUGGGCUGCUCUGGUCCGCAACUGGUUCAUCGACCACCCACAAUUUAUUGUUCUAUACCUCCCACCAUAUUCACCAUUCCUAAACCCAAUUGAAGAGUUGCAUGGCGAUGGCAGGUGUAUGACCGCUAUUCCCUCGCCUGGAGAAGAGGCAUGCGUGCAAUGGAGGAUGCAUGUGAUGAAGUUGAUGUGGGGGCUUUCGGCAGCUGGAUCCGUCACUCCAGAAGAUUCUUUCCCCACUGUUUAGCCAGGGAGAACAUCGCUUGUGAUGUAGAUGAGGUGCUGUGGUCAGACCAAAAUAGAGGCAGGAUGCUGCCUAAUGUCUUUAAUUACAUUUCGCAUGUGUUUGUCUUUUUCUGUUUAGAGUUUUGAAAGAAUGAGCCACUUAAAAAAAUAUAUAUAUAUUGUACAGAAAACCCUUCAUCUUACUCAAUGUUUCUCCUGUUGGGUAUGAAAGUGUUACAUACAAAACACAAGUGUUCAAAAAUACUGCAUUUUGGAAAUAAAUGUUUGUUACGGUAUUGUGUUUGUUGGGAUAUUUAUAGUGUUUUGUGUUGAGCACAUCAGUGUGUUGUUGGUAGACAGAUCUAUUCAUAUGACGCGUCAUUUUGAUACAAAAAAAAAAACAUUUGGGAAAGAAGUUUUGAAUGCAGUGUUUGCUUUUGCUAGAGUUUUGGGGAAAAUGGGCCAAAGAUUCAGCAAACGUGUGUAAACAAUUGAACUAUAAAUUGUUUUCUGCAGGUUUCAUGCUUCCAUCUGAGAACAUUCCCAAUGUCAAACCAGUCAGAAGGUUCCUAGAACAUUCUCAAAACCUAAAUUAAAUGUAACCAUGCUUGACCUUUUAGGAAACAUUCUGUUAGAGUAAUGACAUACCAAGAAAAUAACAUUUAUCAAGUUCCUUAAAUGUGCUGAGAAUUUUCCAAAGCCAAACAACUUUUCUGCAUCAUUCCCAGAACAUUGUGGGAAGGUUGUAUGUGUAACAAUGUGCGCUGAGAGUUGGGAAGCUAGUUCAGGGAGUGAGUGUUUCAAUAAACAGAACAUAAUACAAAACAAGAAACACUAACAGCACACAGACAUGAAACACCGCCUCGGGAAGGAACCAAGGAAAUCAGGGAGGUGAUGGAGUCCAGGUGAGUCUGACGCGCAGGUGCACCUGACGAUGGUGACAGCAGCCUGGUGACCUAGAAGCCGGAGAGGGAGCACACAUGACAGUACCCCCUUCCCGACAUGCCGAAUAAAAAUGACGAUCCCGGGGAUCAGGAGCGGACCGGUCACCUCUGCUAAGGCGCGGGAACCUGUCAAUCUGGCUGAGGUGUGGGAGCAUGGCGACCUAGAGCGCUGGAGAGGGCACA
rnacentral:lncRNA from 1 species